UCAAAUAUAGAAGGGCGUAUGGUGGAUGCCUAGGCGUCAGGAGGCGAUGAAGGACGUAGUAGCCUGCGAUAAGCUUCGGGAAGCUGGCAAACAAGCGAUGAUCCGAAGAUUUCCGAAUGGGGCAACCCGGCACGGUAAAGCCGUGUCACCGAAAGGAGCCAACCCGGGGAACUGAAACAUCUAAGUACCCGGAGGAAAGGAAAUCAAUAGAGACUCCCUAAGUAGUGGCGAGCGAACGGGGAAUAGCCCAAACCGAUCCAGUUCGCUGGGUCGGGGUUGUAGGACCUGCAAUACGGUACAGUGACAGAUAGUGGAAGCACCUGGGAAGGUGCAGCACAGAGGGUGAAACUCCCGUACACGAAAUCUGAAUCUGGCCAGCGGAGUUCCUGAGUACCCUGGAACACGUGAAAUUCUGGGGGAAGCUGGGAGGACCAUCUUCCAAGGCUAAGUACUACCUGACGACCGAUAGUGAACUAGUACCGUGAGGGAAAGGUGAAAAGAUCCCCGAGAGGGAAGUGAAAUAGACCCUGAAACCAUGCGCCUACAAACAGUGGGAGCCCGCAAGGGUGACCGCGUACCUUUUGCAUAAUGAGUCAGCGAGUUACGGAUCGUGGCAAGGUUAAGCCGUUAGGCGAAGCCGUAGGGAAACCGAGUCUGAAUAGGGCGCUGAGUCGCGGUCUGUAGACCCGAACCCAGGUGAGCUACCCAUGGCCAGGUUGAAGGGUUGGUAAAACUUCCUGGAGGACCGAACCCACUGAUGUUGAAAAAUCAGGGGAUGAGCUGUGGGUAGGAGUGAAAGGCUAAUCAAACCUGGAAAUAGCUGGUUCUCCCCGAAAUGCAUUGAGGUGCAGCCUCAGGUGAUUUCCGUCGGGGGUAGAGCACUGACAGGGCUAGGGUCCGCGAGGAUACCAAACCCUAUCAAACUCCGAAUCCCGAUGAGUACAGCCUGGGAGUGAGACGGCGGGAGAUAAGUUUCGUCGUCGAGAGGGAAAGAGCCCAGACUACCGGCUAAGGCCCCUAAGUGUGUGCUAAGUGGUCAAGGAUGUGGGUAAUCACAGACAACCAGGAGGUUGGCUUAGAAGCAGCCACCCUUUAAAGAAAGCGUAAUAGCUCACUGGUCGAGAUUGCCUGCGCCGUAAAUAUAACGGGGCUUAAGCACGCCGCCGAAGCCGUAGAUUCUUUCGAGAAUGGUAGGGGAGCGUUCCAGAGGCGUUGAAGGUGCACCGUGAGGUGUGCUGGAGCGUCUGGAAGUGAGAAUGCUGACAUGAGUAGCGAUAAAACGGGUGAAAAACCCGUUCGCCGGAAGCCCAAGGGUUCCUGUCCAAGGAUCAUCCGGGCAGGGUUAGUCGGUCCCUAAGGCGAAGCCGAAAGGCGUAGUCGAUGGGAAACAGGUGAACAUUCCUGUACCGCCGGCUUGGAGCAGAGCAGGGACGGAGAAGGGUAGGUGAGCCAGCUGCUGGAUUGCUGGUGCAAGCGUGUAGGGAGUCGUCCUAGGAAAAAAACGGGACGGCAUAUCCCAAGGCGUGAUGCCGAGGCCUUGAGCCAGAAGUCAUUGAUCCCACGCUUCCAAGAAAAGCUGCGUACUGCGUUGAAGAGCAGGUGACCGUACCCCAAACCGACUCAGGUGGGCAGGUGGAGAACACCAAGGCGUUUGAGAGAAGCCGGGUUAAGGAACUAGGCAAAUUGACACCGUAACUUAGGGAUAAGGUGUGCCACCGGUAUGUGAAGGGCCAGCGCCCGGAGCAGAAAGUGGUCGCAGCGAAGCGGCGGUAGCGACUGUUUACCAAAAACACAGGGCUCUGCUAAGUCGUAAGACGAUGUAUAGGGCCUGACGCCUGCCCGGUGCCGGAAGGUUAAGAGGAGCUGUCAGGGUUAAACCGAAGCAGUGAAUUGAAGCCCCGGUAAACGGCGGCCGUAACUAUAACGGUCCUAAGGUAGCGAAAUUCCUUGUCGGGUAAGUUCCGACCUGCACGAAUGGCGUAACGACUUCCGCGCUGUCUCGACCCGCUACUCAGCGAAAUUGACGUUGGGGUGAAGAUGCCCCAUACCCGCGGAAAGACGGAAAGACCCUGUGAACCUUUACUCUAGCUUGGCAGUGACAUCUGGUUCAGCCUGUGUAGGAUAGGUGGGAGACAAUGAAGUCGGCGCGCUAGCGUCGGUGGAGUCAACCUUGAAAUACCACCCUGGUUGUUCUGGCUGUCUAACCCCCGAGGGGGGACACUGUCUGGUGGGGAGUUUGACUGGGGCGGUCGCCUCCCAAAAAGUAACGGAGGCGCGCAAAGGUUCCCUCAGCCUGAUUGGAAACCAGGCGCAGAGUGCAAUGGCAUAAGGGAGCUUGACUGCGAGACGGACACGUCGAGCAGCUGCGAAAGCAGGCCAUAGUGAUCCGGCGGUUCCAAAUGGAAGGGCCGUCGCUCAACGAAUAAAAGGUACUCCGGGGAUAACAGGCUGAUCGCGCCCAAGAGUCCAUAUCGACGGCGCGGUUUGGCACCUCGAUGUCGGCUCAUCGCAUCCUGGGGCUGGAGCAGGUCCCAAGGGUACGGCUGUUCGCCGUUUAAAGCGGUACGCGAGCUGGGUUCAGAACGUCGUGAGACAGUUCGGUCCCUAUCUUCCGUGGGCGUAGGAGAGUUGAGAGGAGUUGCCCCUAGUACGAGAGGACCGGGGUGAACGUACCUCUGGUGUUCCGGUUGUCGCGCCAGCGGCAUUGCCGGGUAGCCACGUACGGACGGGAUAACCGCUGAAAGCAUCUAAGUGGGAAGCCUCCCUCAAGAUGAGCUCUCCCUGAAGGACCCUUGAAGACUACAAGGUUGAUAGGCUGGAGGUGGACGCGCAGCAAUGCGUGGAGCUGACCAGUACUAAUUGUCCGUUCGGUUUGUCCAU
rnacentral:rRNA from 1 species